rnacentral:rRNA from 1 species
AACGAACGCUGGCGGCGUGCCUAACACAUGCAAGUCGAACACGAAAGUCCUUCGGGAUGAGUAGAGUGGCGCACGGGCGAGAAACACGUGGGUAAUCUGCCCAGAAGUGGGGAAUAACUCCUCGAAAGAGGAGCUAAUACCGCAUAAGACCACGACAACUAAGGUUGUUGGGGUUAAAGGUGACCUCUGUUUACAAGUUAUCGUUUCUGGAUGAGCCUGCGCAACAUUAGCUAGUUGGUGGGGUAAUGGCCUACCAAGGCUACGAUGUUUAGCGGGUCUGAGAGGAUGAUCAGCCACACGGGAACUGAGACACGGUCCAGACUCCUACGGGAGGCAGCAGUAGGGAAUAUUGCUCAAUGGGGGAAACCCUGAAGCAGCAACGCCGCGUGAGUGAUGAAGGCCUUCGGGUCGUAAAGCUCUGUUGUACGGGGAGAACGUGGGUACGGCUAACAUCCAUAUCCAGUGACGGUACGUAUAAGAAAGGGACGGCUAACUUCGUGCCAGCCGCCGCAGUAA